AGUAACGCGUGGGUAACCUGCCUUACACAGGGGGAUAACACUUAGAAAUAGGUGCUAAUACCGCAUGAGCGCACAGGACCGCAUGGUCGAGUGUGUAAAAACUGAGGUGGUGUAAGAUGGACCCGCGUCUGAUUAGCUAGUUGGUGAGGUAACGGCCCACCAAGGCGACGAUCAGUAGCCGGCUUGAGAGAGUGAACGGCCACAUUGGGACUGAGACACGGCCCAGACUCCUACGGAAGGCAGCAG
rnacentral:rRNA from 1 species